rnacentral:rRNA from 1 species
UACGUAGGGUGCAAGCGUUGUCCGGAAUUAUUGGGCGUAAAGAGCUCGUAGGCGGUCUGUCACGUCUGCUGUGAAAACUCCGGGCUCAACCCGGAGCUUGCAGUGGAUACGGGCAGACUAGAGUGCGGUAGGGGAGACUGGAAUUCCUGGUGUAGCGGUGAAAUGCGCAGAUAUCAGGAGGAACACCGGUGGCGAAGGCGGGUCUCUGGACCGAUACUGACGCUGAGGAGCGAAAGCGUGGGGAGCGAACAGG